GAUGAUGCAGCCUUUCAGACCACAAAAACAAGGACUUCAACAGGGUUGGUUAUUGAUACAAAUUUAAGGUCAAUUUUGUGAGUCAUCUCUAAAAACUUUUGGACAAAAGUCUGGCCUCUCCACCCUGCAUCUACAGAAUUACAAGGAGUGGGUACAGCUGUAGCUCCUGAGUGUAGCUCAUGUGUCCUUAUACCCACAGGAGGUACCUGCCAGUCACAGAUGCAACCAUGAGAAAGGAACUCACAAGGUUUUCCUGUGGAACCCAGAAAGCUUUUUCUGUAGUCCAGGUGGCUUUCAGAGCCCUUACCAGAUGUAUGUCCAGACCCAUUAAGUCUUGGCACACAUGCUCUUGGGGAAAAGCACUAAGCCUGCCUCACUCAUGAGCAAGUGUCGAAACAAAUGGAAAGUCUACAGCUGUGUGCCCAGGAAGAAUACUUAGUGGAGACAACUGGUGUCCCUGAAUGGAAUGCUUCACAAUUAUUCUUCAAACUGAAAAUUGCAGAUACUCAGAUGUAUGUAAAGAACGUGCU